UGAACGCUGGCGGCAGGCCUAACACAUGCAAGUCGAACGGUAACAGGAAACAGCUUGCUGUUUCGCUGACGAGUGGCGGACGGGUGAGUAAUGUCUGGGAAACUGCCUGAUGGAGGGGGAUAACUACUGGAAACGGUAGCUAAUACCGCAUAACGUCGCAAGACCAAAGAGGGGGACCUUCGGGCCUCUUGCCAUCGGAUGUGCCCAGAUGGGAUUAGCUAGUAGGUGGGGUAACGGCUCACCUAGGCGACGAUCCCUAGCUGGUCUGAGAGGAUGACCAGCCACACUGGAACUGAGACACGGUCCAGACUCCUACGGGAGGCAGCAGUGGAGAAUAUUGCACAAUGGGCGCAAGCCUGAUGCAGCCAUGCCGCGUGUAUGAAGAAGGCCUUCGGGUUGUAAAGUACUUUCAGCGGGGAGGAAGGGAGUAAAGUUAAUACCUUUACUCAUUGACGUUACCCGCAGAAGAAGCACCGGCUAACUCCG
rnacentral:rRNA from 1 species